UACGAAGGGGGCUAGCGUUGCUCGGAAUGACUGGGCGUAAAGGGCGCGUAGGCGGUUCGUACAGUCAGACGUGAAAUUCCCGGGCUCAACCUGGGGGCUGCGUUUGAUACGUACGGGCUUGAGUUCGGAAGAGGGUCGUGGAAUUCCCAGUGUAGAGGUGAAAUUCGUAGAUAUUGGGAAGAACACCGGUGGCGAAGGCGGCGACCUGGUCCGAUGACUGACGCUGAGGCGCGAAAGCGUGGGGAGCAAACAGG
rnacentral:rRNA from 1 species